GGAGCAUGAGCCACAUCGCCUCAACAUAGUCUCCAGCAAACCCCCAGUCGCGGGCAGCUGUCAGGUUGCCAAGGAAGAGCUUGGUCUGGAGACCGACGCGGAUGCGGCCAACAGCACGGGUGAUUUUCCGGGUGACAAAAUUCUCACCGCGACGGGGGGAUUCGUGGUUGAAGAGGAUACCGUUGCAGGCGAAGAGACCAUAGGCCUCGCGGUAGUUGACAGUAUACCAGUGGGCAGCAGCCUUCGCGGCAGCAUACGGUGACCGCGGAUGGAACGGUGUGGUCUCCGACUGCGGCGGUGGCGUAGAUCCGAACAUCUCCGACGACCCAGCCUGAUAAUACCGGAUCUGCUU
rnacentral:misc_RNA from 1 species